UACUGAAAUGAGUCAGUUAAUGUAAAGUUGGGAUGAAGGCACAUUAUUUAAAAUGUAAGAGUUAAUAAACAUUAUUUUUUCAGUAUUACUCAUAAAUCUAAAUGAAUUUGAUUUUAUUGGUUGAAAAUGAAGUGAAAAACAAUUGCCUAGGGUGGUUUUAAGCACUUUUUUUGUUAAAAACAUAUCUUUGAGUUUUAAUGUAUGUGUUGUUUUGUAGAUGGCACAAUAACAAUGGGCGCCGAGAAGUGUUUUGGGAGAGAUUAAGGACUAAGUAUGUAAGAUGACUAGGACAAGAGUGGGGGAGUGUGAUGGUAAAUGCAGGAUGCCUUCGUCUUUACAAAAAUGCAGUAUUAUCUAUACUCAGACUGAGGUGCUGGGAUGGAGAGCAGGGGCUUGGAGUAUGGGGGCUGACCCCACGGCACUGUCCCCAGGGAAUUCAAGUCCUCUCACAGCCCGUGACUUACUCUGUUUCCUUGGGGGUUUUCCCACCUAAACCUGUAUUGUUUCUUUUUCAUAAAUAAAUUCAGCAUUAUAGUAUCAUUAAAAGAAGCCUUGAAGAGGCGUAUUUUUCCUUUUGGUUGAAGGAAGGGAAUAGUUAAUAAUAGUUUUCACCUCUUCUCCCACAAAGUACAGUCCAAAUUUGUGCACAGAGAUUGCUAUGGUAUUCAAGAGGUACUUGCAUUUUAGCUCCUUAAUUCCCUGGUCAGUGUUAGCUGUUUAGUGCCCCCUCACCCAUCACGUUUAGGCACAUCCCAAUAGACAGAACCAGGCUGAGUUACAGGGGGAGUGUGUCAUCACUGGCCCAGAUUAAGAUGGCCUCGUCAGAAUGACCAUUGAGUAGGUACGGAUGAAUGGAAUAUUUAGUGGAGGAACCCUUUCCUUUUUCCUUCUUUUUGGGGUCUCUUCUUAAAAUGAAAAGCUUCCAAAAUAUCAAAUCUAGGGCUGUUUCCUAAAUUACACUAUUCUAGGCAUCAUUUUGAUUCCCAUGUCACUCCUUAACUCACUUCUUUGAGCACUACAAGUAUGUUGUCAGCCACGAGACAGGACUUCCUAAAUAGUGUGUGCACCAGCCUAACUCUGCCUUACUCAGAAACCAACCACCUAAGAGGAAACUCAGAAGAUAUUAAUGAAAACUAAUUGAAAGUAUGCACACUUCUCAUGUAGGAACAAAAUUAAAAUUUUACAUUUUUAUUUUACAAUGUAAAUUACAUUUUGUAGCAACAAAAUGUAAAUUUUGUAAAUACAAAAUUAUUUUUAAAGUCCUGUUUAAAGAACAAUAGAACUAAGUGAAAAUAUUCAGAACGAGCUCCUUAGAAGAAAGGAGUAAGAAUUUUUUACUGGGACUAUUUCCCAUCUCUAGAAAAAGCGCUUCUUCCCUCCCCCUCCCUCUCCCUCUCCAUGGUGCGUUUUUGUGAAAAUGCUUUUCUGUCAGGUUUAAACAGUAGCUCAUUGACAAGAACAUAUUGUAAAACAAAUCCAAUUAAAGAGUAAUAUAUGGUCUGUUUGUGUUUCUGUUGUAAUAAUUUGAUAAGUAAACUUCUGAGGGCAAAAUUACUGUUUAAAUCUAUCACUCUUAAAAUGUUGCAUGUUUGACAUCGUUCCUAAGAGCCAUGUAAUUUUAAACAUUUAAUUGCAGUUAGUGAAUAUGAAAGGAUUUCUGAAUAAAAAUCUAUCCACAUUA
ensembl:lncRNA